rnacentral:rRNA from 1 species
AACGAACGCUGGCGGCAUGCCUAACACAUGCAAGUCGAACGAAGGCUUCGGCCUUAGUGGCGCACGGGUGCGUAACGCGUGGGAAUCUGCCCUUGGGUUCGGAAUAACUCAGAGAAAUUUGAGCUAAUACCGGAUGAUGACGUAAGUCCAAAGAUUUAUCGCCCAAGGAUGAGCCCGCGUAAGAUUAGCUAGUUGGUGGGGUAAAGGCCUACCAAGGCGACGAUCUUUAGCUGGUCUGAGAGGAUGAUCAGCCACACUGGGACUGAGACGCGGCCCAGACUCCUACGGGAGGCAGCAGUGGGGAAUAUUGGACGAAUAGGGCGGAAAGACCUCGAUCCACGCAAUAGCCG